rnacentral:rRNA from 1 species
UACAGAGGGUGCGAGCGUUGUCCGGAAUCACUGGGCGUAAAGGGCGCGUAGGUGGUGACCCAAGUCUGUGGUGAAAGCUCGACGCUCAACGUCGAGUCGGCCAUAGAUACUGGGUUGCUUGAGCACUGUAGAGGCAGAUGGAAUUCCGGGUGUAGCGGUGGAAUGCGUAGAGAUCCGGAAGAACACCGGUGGCGAAGGCGGUCUGCUGGGCAGUUGCUGACACUGAGGCGCGACAGCGUGGGGAGCAAACAGG